rnacentral:rRNA from 1 species
GACGAACGCUGGCGGCGUGCUUAACACAUGCAAGUCGAACGGAAAGGCCCUGCUUUUGUGGGGUGCUCGAGUGGCGAACGGGUGAGUAACACGUGAGUAACCUGCCCUUGACUUUGGGAUAACUUCAGGAAACUGGGGCUAAUACCGGAUAGGAGCUCCUGCUGCAUGGUGGGGGUUGGAAAGUUUCGGCGGUUGGGGAUGGACUCGCGGCUUAUCAGCUUGUUGGUGGGGGAGGGGCUGACCAAGGCUUUGACGGGUAGCCGGCCUGGGAGGGUGACCGGCCACAUUGGGCCUGAGGUAGGGCCCAGACUCCUACGGGAGGCAGCAGUGGGGAGUAUUGCACAGUGGGCGGGAGUCUGAUGCAGCAACGCCGCGUUCGGGAUGACGGCCUUCGGGUUGUAAACCGCUUUCGCCUGUGACGAAGCGGGAGUGACGGUAAUGGAUAAAGAAGCACCGGCUAACUACGUG